rnacentral:rRNA from 1 species
UACGUAGGGUGCGAGCGUUGUCCGGAAUUAUUGGGCGUAAAGAGCUCGUAGGUGGCGGGUCACGUCGGGUGUGAAAGCCCGGGGCCCAACCCCGGAAUUGCAUCUGAAACUGCCUCGCUAGAGUCCCGGAGAGGAAGGCAGAAUUCCCGGUGUAGGGGUGAAAUCCGUAGAUAUCGGGAGGAAUACCAGCGGCGAAGGCGGCCUUCUGGACGGUGACUGACGCUGAGACGCGAAAGCGUGGGGAGCAAACAGG